rnacentral:tRNA from 1 species
GGGCGGUUAGCUCAGUUGGUUAGAGCGCCUGCUCGACACGCAGGAGGUCACUGGUUCGAAUCCAGCACCGCCCA